UACGUAGGUGGCGAGCGUUGUCCGGAAUUACUGGGUGUAAAGGGUGCGCAGGCGGGUUGUCAAGUUGGGUGUGAAAUCUCUGGGCUUAACUCAGAGUUUGCAUUCAAAACUGGCGAUCUUGAGUGAGGUAGAGGCAGGCGGAAUUCCCGGUGUAGCGGUGAAAUGCGUAGAGAUCGGGAGGAACACCAGUGGCGAAGGCGGCCUGCUGGGCCUUAACUGACGCUGAGGCACGAAAGCAUGGGUAGCAAACAGGAUUAGAUACCCUGGUAGUCCAUGCUGUAAACGAUGAUUGCUAGGUGUGGGUGGACUGACCCCAUCCGUGCCGGAGUUAACACAAUAAGCAAUCCACCUGGGGAGUACGACCGCAAGGUUGAA
rnacentral:rRNA from 1 species